GGCGUAGUAGCCAAGUGGUAAGGCAAAGGUCUGCAACACCUUGAUUCGCCGGUUCAAAUCCGGCCUGCGCCU
rnacentral:tRNA from 1 species